CCUACGGGAGGCAGCAGUGAGGAAUAUUGGUCAAUGGGCGAGAGCCUGAACCAGCCAAGUCGCGUGAAGGAUGAAUGAUCUAUGGUUUGUAAACCUCUUUUAUAUGGGAAUAAAGUGAGGAACGUGUUCCUUUUUGUAUGUACCAUAUGAAUAAGCAUCGGCUAACUCCGUUCCAGCAGCCGCGGUAAUACGGAGGAUGCGAGCGUUUUCCGGAUUUAUUGGGUUUAAAGGGUGCGUAGGUGGUUAAUUAAGUCAGCGGGUAAAGUUUGUGGCUCAACCAUAACAUUGCCGUUGAAACUGGCUGACUUGAGUAUAUUUGAGGUAGGCGGAAUGCGUGGUGUAGCGGUGAAAUGCAUAGAUAUCACGCAGAACUCCGAUUGCGAAGGCAGCUUACUAACCUCAAACUGACACUGAAGCACGAAAGCGUGGGGAUCGAACAGGAUUAGAUACCCGAGUAGUC
rnacentral:rRNA from 1 species